UACGAAGGGUGCUAGCGUUGUUCGGAAUUACUGGGCGUAAAGCGCGCGUAGGCGGCUAUCCAAGUCAGGGGUGAAAUCCUUGGGCUCAACCCAAGAAUUGCCUUUGAAACUGGAUAGCUAGAGUGUCGGAGGGGAUAGCAGAAUUGCUAAUGUAGAGGUGAAAUUCGUAGAUAUUAGCAGGAACACCGGUGGCGAAGGCGGCUAUCUGGACGACAACUGACGCUGAGGCGCGAAAGCACGGGGAUCAAACAGG
rnacentral:rRNA from 1 species